rnacentral:rRNA from 1 species
UAGGGAAUCUUCGGCAAUGGACGGAAGUCUGACCGAGCAACGCCGCGUGAGUGAAGAAGGUUUUCGGAUCGUAAAGCUCUGUUGUUAGAGAAGAACGUUGGUAGGAGUGGAAAAUCUACCAAGUGACGGUAACUAACCAGAAAGGGACGGCUAACCACGUGCCAGCAGCCGCGGUAAUACGUAGGUCCCGAGCGUUGUCCGGAUUUAUUGGGCGUAAAGCGAGCGCAGGCGGUUCUUUAAGUCUGAAGUUAAAGGCAGUGGCUUAACCAUUGUACGCUUUGGAAACUGGAGGACUUGAGUGCAGAAGGGGAGGGUGGAAUUCCAUGUGUAGCGGUGAAAUGCGUAGAUAUAUGGAGGAACACCGGUGGCGAAAGCGGCUCUCUGGUCUGUAACUGACGCUGAGGCUCGAAAGCGUGGGGAGCAAACAGG